GCGCUCAUAGCUCAGCUGGAUAGAGCAGCUCACUUCUAAUGAGCAGGUCAUAGGUUCGAAUCCUAUUGGGCGUA
rnacentral:tRNA from 1 species